GACCACUUAGCUCAGUUGGUUAGAGCUUGGUGCUAAUAACACCAAGGUCAUGGGUUCAAUCCCUGUAUGGGCCA
rnacentral:tRNA from 1 species